GGGAAAGAGGGAAUGAGGGUCGGGGAAGGAUGAAGGAGAUCACUCUCUAUCAUUGCUCAGAUCGCUCUCCUUCAGUUAAGCUUUGGUUUCAUGUGUUGUAAACACACUGAGGAAGAGAGGGAGGACAGAACAGACAGGAUGGAUGAAUGCACUGAGGGCGAGGGAGUGCAAUGAAAAAGCUACCCGUGUUUUAGAUUUCACCUGAUCUAUGAUUGGCAGAGAAAUGGAAAGAGGUAGACACAAAACAAGCUCAUGUGGGUAACAUUUGGAGGACUGUUGAGGCGGAGACAAUGCGGAUAAAAGGAAAGCUUCAGCGAGAGGAAGUCAGGCAUUUACCCACCACGAGCCAUGCAAACACCUGACAAGACCACAAUCAUGUCAACGAUGCAAGCUAAUUGCAGCUAACGAGCACGCUGGACAACCCGAUGCUGAGAGCCCACAGAGACAGCAGAAGCAGCAGAAGAGGGGGAGAAACAGGCAAAGAUGGAAGGAACACAGGGUUGCUGAGGAAAGGCCCGUUGCUCCAGAGGUGGCAGACAUCCAGUGGUCUGUUGUGAUGACACGACGGCUAUUUGACGAGGAACAUCUAUGCAAGCGGCAGUCAAUGAGGGGCCACCGUACCGGAAGACAGCGCAGCUUCCUUCUGACUAAUGCUGGACUAUUUUAAAACAACACGACGGAAUUAACUGCUGCUUAAACGCACAGUAAUAACAUUUAACCACUUUGAUUUGAUGCAGUUGGGGGGCACUGCCACCACUUAUGGUCCAGAUGAGCACUCACUCCCUCCGUUCCACCACAUCUCUCUCCCUUUUCCUUUACAAUAACACAUCUAACACUCAACAGCGGUCAACCAACCCGACCUGCAAUCAGUCUAUUAGGCGACAUAAUGUUGGUAAAGACGACAUCUUCUCGCCUCUUUCUGUCUGGUAUUUGGUCAUUAAGGAGGAAGCGUUCUGGAUAUCACCGCUGUGGCUGCAGCGGUCAAAAGAAAAUGAGGUGACAAACAUAAAUUUCCACACGGGAUGCUGGAGAGCAUGGCAGGUUAACUAGGCGCCUUUUAAUGAUGAUCCUAUUAUGGGGCAGCAAAUGGCUUAAAAAAAAAAAAAACAAUGACAGCGUGCUGGCACAUCUCUGCAGGGUUUCCACUCCUUGCAAAACACAAUAAUUCCAAUGUGGAAUGUUUGUUUGUGUUUCUAUGUCAAACGCUGGAUUUCUUUGUUAUAUUUCCUCGCUGUCUUUCCCUCGUUGUCCGUCUCUAAGCUUAUCCAACCUUGAUACAGAGCCAAACCAUACACCUGUUUGUCUUGUGGACAACCAGUCAACUAGUCACAAGGGUACUCUCUGCAAACCUCUGUAAUUGGAAGCAGACAUGCUGAUGAUAGUAAAAGGAUGUGUGUGGGUAUGUGCGUAUGUGUAUUGUGGUUGAGGGAGAGUUAUGCAUGAUUUUUGUAGUGCAUUGAUCUGUAAAUGUGGAGAAAGUAUUACCCUUCUGCAAUAGUUACAUUUCCAGAUUGUCAGACAAUGGCCAGGAUACUCAGUUUGCUAGCUUGCUCCUUAGCAUGUUAGUUUCAUUUUAUAAGGCAGAAUCAUUUCAUCUUAAAAUGGGCCACAGAGCGACGACGGGAAUGAAAACGUGCUGUCAAGGAAACACAUUUUGCUUGCAAAAAAACGGACUAACAGUUACUGUAACACCAGUUCAGUUGGACAGAAUAGAGUCCAAUUGAGUUUGAUGACUCACUCUAUUACUAAUAGUAAGUUAAGUUGAAUUUCUUAUGAAUAGUGCACCAAGAAACACGCUCUAAAAACGUAUGGGAAAGUGCAGUGGCUUGUGGGAGUGCAUUCAUGCAAGCUGUUCCUUCUGUCUGUCUGCUUCCUGGUUAAUUAGCCCGUCAUCGUGAUAACACGCGAGAGUCAGCGCUUCCAGCGUUGAUUUACGGCGACGCGCUGGGAGAAGCAUUGCAGAGUUUCUGAGCCAGACCGAGCCGGAGAACGAGACAGUGAGAGUUGUUAUUAAUGAGGUCGCUAUAAUGUGAAUUAAUGUGCGAGUGCACAACAGUCUUUAAAGGUUAGACUGUUGCCGGUGCGGAGGGGAGAAGAACGCAGGGAAAAUCUUUAAAGGUUAGCGUGUGUGCUCCGCCUGGGCCCGUUUUGUGUUUAUUACUGCUUUCUAUUGAUUUAGUGAUGAUGGUGACCAAGGUGAAAAUGAUGAUGAUGGCAAAGAUGCUGAUGAUAACUUCAUAAAAUGGAUAGGGCUCAUCUAUGGUCUGUUUAACUCGUUUAGGAUCGCACAGCACCAUUAUUAUGACAUCGGUAAACAUCAUCCCACACAUGUGCCCCUGCGUGAUCGACUCAUCGACCCAAUGUUGGUUCAGUAUUAUAAAAAGGAAGUAUUAAAGAAUUAAUAACAGUGAUUCAAGGAAUGACAGCUCAGCAUAUACAUACACACACUCUCUCCCCAUCCUCCAUUAACACAUACCAAUCCCUCUACACCUUAAAAAACUGACUUACGAGU